UACGUAGGGGGCAAGCGUUGUCCGGAUUUAUUGGGCGUAAAGAGCUCGUAGGCGGCUUGUCGCGUCGUCCGUGAAAACUUGGGGCUCAACCCCAAGCUUGCGGUCGAUACGGGCAGGCUAGAGUUCGGUAGGGGAGACUGGAAUUCCUGGGUGUAGCGGUGAAAUGCGCAGAUAUCAGGAGGAACACCGGUGGCGAAGGCGGGUCUCUGGGCCGAUACUGACGCUGAGACGCGAAAGCGUGGGGAGCGAACAGG
rnacentral:rRNA from 1 species